GAUGAACGCUAGCUACAGGCUUAACACAUGCAAGUCGAGGGAACGGCGCACGGGUGAGUAACACGUAUCCAACCUGCCCUUUACUCGGGGAUAGCCUUUCGAAAGAAAGAUUAAUACCCGAUAUAAAGGAUGGGGAUGCGUUCCAUUAGGUUGUUGGUGAGGUAACGGCUCACCAAGCCUUCGAUGGAUAGGGGUUCUGAGAGGAAGGUACACCACAUUUGAACUGAGACACGGUCCAAAAUCCUAGGGGAGGCAGCGGUGAGGAAGAUUGGUAAAUGGACGCUAGCCGGAACCAGCCAAGUAGCGUGAAGGAUGAAGGGGUAUGGGUGGUAAACUUCUUGUAUAUAAGAAUAUGUAUUAUAUGAAUAAGGAUCGGCUAACGCCGUGCCAGCAGCCGCGGUAAUAC
rnacentral:rRNA from 1 species